rnacentral:rRNA from 1 species
CCCUUAGAUGUUCUGGGCCGCACGCGCGCUACACUGACGGAUUCAACGAGCUUGCAACCUUGGCCGAAAGGUCUGGGUAAUCUCCAAAAUCCGUCGUGAUGGGGAUAGAUUAUUGCAAUUAUUAAUCUUCAACGAGGAAUGCCUAGUAAGCGCAAGUCAUCAGCUUGCGUUGAUUACGUCCCUGCCCUUUGUACACACCGCCCGUCGCUCCUACCGAUUGAAUGGUCCGGUGAAGCGUUUGGACUAUGGUUUUCUGAUGGUCCGCCGUUGGAUUACCGUGGGAAGUUCGUUAAACCUUAUCAUUUAGAGGAAGGAGAAGUCGUAACA